CGAGGAAUUCUAUGGGAGAGUUCUGGACAACUCUGGCAUUUUAUCUUCAGCAAAUGGGAGCUGCAAAUUACAGACAGAAAAAUUAUGGAAGAGAUUGUAUCCUAUGGAGUCCUAUGACCUUGAUUUGGAUAAGGCAAUCUCAGAGCCAAUUUCUCCUCUUGAGAAAUGCACGACCUAUGAUCUUGUUUCAGCUGCCAAGAGGCAAAGCUCAUUUUAUCUUGAGGUACAAUAAUGAACUUGACUAAAUUAAAUAACAUAUGUUUUACAAGUUUGAAUUUGAAUAUAUUUACAUGAUUUAUAUUGAGUUUGAGUACUUUCUGAUAAAAGCUUGCAUUUUAAAUAUUUAAUCUACAACUGAAAUAUUUUGAAAUUCAUAUAAAUACUUCCAAUACAUAUAAUAAAUGGGUGUGUUACAAGGUUUCUAAGCCAUUUGUUGGCGUAUCUUUGCUACAGGUUUCAAGAGCCAAUGUGGACAGUGAGAUCAUUAUGGAAGAAGCUGUUGGUAGAUACAAAGCAUUCCUCUACUUAAUCAAGGAAAACCGUGAAAAGACGAUCAGACUAAUCAGUGUUCCGACUUAUGAUAUUGAUCUAAUUUGGCAUACACAUCAGCUGAACCCUUCCUCUUACUACAAGGAUAUGGUAAAGAUCUUUGGUAACAUCUUACAGCAUGAUGAUACGGCAGACUCUGCCACAAGCGAAGGUAUGAAUCUCGACACUGUUUUCUCUGGAACUACUGCGCAAUGGGAAGAAACAUUUGGUCAAAGGUAUUGGAAAGCCAGCAUGGAUACGACGCCACAUACUUCAGCUAUGGUGGAGACUGAGAGGAGCGGUGCAGGUGCUAGAUGCUUGGCUGAGGCUGCUGAGAAAUGUAGUGCUGGUGCUAGGUGCUUUGCGGUGGAGGCUGAGAAGACCAGUGCUAGGUUUUUUGCUGUGGAUGCUGAGAAGAAAAAUGCUAGGUGCUUUGCAUUGGAAGCUGAGAAGAACAGUGCGAGGUGCUUUGCUCUGGAAGCUGAGAAGAACAGUGCUAGGUGCUUUUCUGUAGAGGCUGAGAAGAAAAAUGCAACGUGCUUUGCAGUGGAAGCUGAGAAGAACAGUGCUAGGUGUUUUGCUGUGGAGGCUGAGAAGAACAGUGCAAGGUGCUUUGCAGUGGAAGUUGAGAAGAAAAGUUCUAGGAGAGUUGCUGUGGAGGCUGAGAAGAAAAAUGCUAGGGGCUUUGCUAUGGAGGCUGAGAAGAAAAAAGCAAGGUGUUUUGCAGUGGAAGCCGGGAAGAACAAUGCUAGGUGUUUUGCUGUGGAGGGUGAGAAGAAAAAUGCAAGGUGCUUUGCAGUGGAAGCUGGGAAGAACAAUGCUAGGUGUUUUGCUGUGGAGGCCGAGAAAAAAAAUGCAGGGUGCUUUGCAGUAACAAAUGGUAAGCGCAGUGCAAGAUGCUUUGCAAUGGAAGUUGAGAAGAAAAACGCAAGGUGCUUUGCAAUGACAGAUGGUAAGAGCAAUGCAAGGUGUUUUGCAAUGGCCUCUGGAAAGAACAGUGCAAGGUGCUUUGCAGUGGGGGCUGAAAAGAAUCGUGGAUGUGGAUGUGGUAAUUUGAUGAAGAACAAUGCUCAGGAAAAUGCUCCACUGGCGGAAGGCGCUACUGCAGCUUAAUUAAUUACUCGACUGAAGAAGUUCUAAUGUGUAAUGCCAAUGUAAAAUAUAUGUAAUAUAUGAUCUGGAAAUGAUGUGAAACUAAUGAGUGAUGUUUCAAAUGUUACAUGUUAUAAACAUGUACAUGCUAAUGUAAAUAAAUAAGUUACAACAGUUUAAUAUCGAUUUGAGUGUUUAUAUUGGAGUGGUGUGUUAAGGGUUGAACUAGGUGGUUGUCCAUGAAUUUAUGGAUAUAAAUAUUGUAUAAAAAAAUAUAUAUUAUGUAUAAAAUGUUAUAUACUUUGAAAGAUUAAAAGUAUAAUUUUUAACAUCAAAUAGUUUGAAAAUCAGUUGUAAAGUUUAUAUAAAUUUGAUGUAAAAAUAACUAAUGAAUACUUAUUAAUAACAAAUGUUUGCGACAUUAUAUAUGUAAUUAUCACAUUAAUUUCACCAACACAUAUUAUGCAUCUUCUUCGGCCUCUUCUUAUUUAUCUCAUUAUCAUUUCGUUCUUUUUAUUAAAUUUGUGCUAAUGUUUUCCUAAAUUUUUACUUAUUUUUGCUAAACAUGUAUUUCUCUCUCUAAAUAGUAAUACAAAACAUACAAUCAAUAAACCAAAAAUCCAUCUUAGAAUUCUUUUCAAUCAUAACAUUACCACAUUCACUAUAUUAUCUUACGUAAAUGCAAAACAUUUUUUCAAUCAAAGUUUCCGCAUGUCCCGUUAAAUAUAAUUCAUCCAAUUUUCAAAACCUAAUUAUUUAUAAAGCAUAUAUGGAUAUUAUAAGAGAUUAUUUAGUAUUAUAGAUACAACUAUAUUUUUAUAAGAUUAAAAUAUAUUUAUAUAUUUUCAAAGAUUUAUACAAAAAGUCACGACUUUAGAUAUUUGAGAUAGUUAUUUUAGGUUAGUAUCUAUACGAUAUAUUUUGAAUAGAAAUAUCAUUGAAAAAUAUACUCUAUUGAAUAAUGAACAUAAAGAAACUUAUUGAGAUAUUUUAACAAUUAAAAAUUAUCUUUUAUGAUGAGAAGACACAACUCUUAAAACUAAUAAUUGUGGAAAUACACAUAUUGGGAUAUUUUAACUACUUUUUAAAACUACUUUAUUUUUUAUAAUAAAAAGACACAACUCUUAGAACUAAUACAUUUCAGUUUUUUUUAAUGAAAACCACAACUUCUAAACAUUAGUUGAGAUUCCUAUUAUUAAUUAUAUUAAUUGGUACAUAUGAUAUAUAUAUUAGAUUAUUUUUUUGCAAAAUAAUUUUAAAUUUCUCAUAUUUAUAUAUUUAAACAGGUUUUAGUUUUUACAAUUUUAAACUAUUCAUAUAUGUUAAACUAUAUUUAUAAACAUAGAAAUUAUGUUUGAAGUAUAUUUUAUGUUCAUUUUAAAAAAAUAAUGAGUAAAUAUUAGUUUUAUACUUAUAUUUUAUGUAAGAUCAUAUAUCCGUCUAGCUCCGUUUGGGCGUUCGCGUACAUGGUUAGUUGCUAAAUAUUUAUCUUCCGCGAAAUGAAUGUCGCACGUUGUAGAAUACUGAUUGAAAAUAAGUCUCACGUGUACCUAUCUAGUGAAAGUUAAAAAAUAUAUGCUCAUUCGCAUAGAACACUUGCUUCAUAUGUGUUUAAAAAUAAAAAUUGACGUUUUUUUACUACAGUUAUAAUCAAUUUAAGCAUACGAAUCUUACAAGUUGCAGAUUCAUAUCUAAGAUAAAUUCUCCAAAUCGUUUACGAAUGGUCGUUUAUGAGAAUCAAAUAUACAAAGACCUCAAAAAUAGGUAAUCUUCAAGUAGUUUCCUUUUUGACCAAGUGUUCUUUUCAUUCUGCGGGGUGCACAGUACUUUUUCUGCCUUCAACAUUUGUAUUUUACACCAUUCAGAAAGGGAGUCUAAUGAUUCACAUAGUCGGUGUUUUUCAACUUAGUCGGUUUUGAAACAGAUACUUUGUUUUUCAUGCUAUAAAUUUUUUUUAACCGUCACUAGGAAAAACAAGAACCACUAGAAUAUGACGUUUAGGCGUUAACCUCAAUUUUAACUAAAAGCCAAAUGAUUAUUUUUGACCCAUGAUGACUCAGUUUUGUAACUGACAUUUUGAAUAUAUAAUGUUAGUUUUUAAAAAAAAAACUUUAUUCGUUUUGUCACUAGUAUUUUGUUUUCGAUGUCUGUUUUCAAGUGAUGUCAAAUUUGGAAAAAUAACGUUAAAAGCCGUUUUAUUUUCAUUUUCUAUUUUCAAUUUCUUUUAAUUUUUUCACCUUUCAAUUUGCUAUUAAUUACUACUCUAUUAUUUUAAAAGGUUCUAAUAAAACUCAACAAGCGUUAUGCAAAUAUAACCAAACAAACACUUCUUUUUUUCUUUCAAACAAACACUUUUCUUUUCCCAAACAAAUACUUGGUUAAGGUAAGACAAAGGUCAAAUAAGAAAAGAGUAACAUCUCUUUGAGUUUUAAUACAAUUAGUAACGUCUUUUGAGUUUGUACAGAAGUUAAGUAGAAACCGUGCUAUAUAUAGAAACAUUUGAAACACUCCUCUCAAACUCGAAUCAACUUCGUCAUCAGAGAAAAAUCCCCUUGAGGAAUAUAGUUUGAAUUCUUCUUAUUCAUACUUCAAGAAUUUAAAGAUUUAAACUUUUGGGGGUUUUCUGUUUCUAGGGUAGAAAAAUCUCAUUAAACCAUCGGCAAUCUCUUGCUCAUGGUUUUAGAAGUUGUAGUUUGAAUUCUUCUUGUUUAUACUUUACAGAUGAAGUUUUCACAAUUGACAGGAAUGGAGAAAGAAAUAGUGCAAAAUUUGGAGUGGCUUGAAGCUCAGAAAAUAGAGAUAAGCAUUGACCUAAUUGCUGAAGCCAACAAACAUCUUCAGUUUCUCGGAGUUGUUGACCGGAACCGGUGGCUGUACGAUGGUCCUGCACUCAAAAGAGCCAUCUACAGAUAAUUAAACAGAACCACGAUAAAAAGUAAUAAAAAAUAAACAAAAUCACCCAUGGGGUUUGCAUCACACAAGUAAAUACAUUUACAUAAUUUAAUGUUUAUUUAAUUCUAUGUAACAUUUAUUUUUUUCUGAUUAGCUAAGUUUAAAGGGCUUAUUUGUGAUAUAACCAAAAAAAGUGAAAUUAGUUUUAUAGAGAUAGAAUAGAGAGAGAUGGAAAGAAGAAAGCGGAGAUAGAGACUGAUAUUGCUUAGAUAAUGAAUUAUAGUUUUUUGUAUUAUCUCACCCAAUUUCCCAAGUUUAAAUUAAUGAUAAUUAAACAAUAUUGCUACAAUCACCAAUUUAUUAAAUCUAAGGAAAAGAUCUAACCUUUUAGUUUGCGAAUAUAUCUUUGUUUGUUUUUCCUUUCCGUUUACAUAAUUCUCAAAUCAGUAAUUUGGUGAUUUAUUUUUCAGAUACAAUGCCUACAGGCUUCUUUCGCUAGCAAAACAUUAUGAGUCUUCCUCAAUCUGCGAAGAACCACUAGUCUCUCCAAUUGACUGUGAAUGGGUUUGGCAUUGCCACAGGCUUGACCCGGUAAAUGUAAGCAUUGUAUAUCUUUGCAUACAACUCACAUAUGAAAAAGCACACUGUAGCAAAAUAAAAGCACACGGUAGUAGAGUAGUGAACAGUGGGAGGUAAAAUAUGUAGCUCACUAUUUUGUUAAUCAUCCAGGUGAGGUACAAGUCUGACUGUGAGGAAUUCUAUGGGAGAGUUCUGGACAACUCUGGCAUUGUAUCUUCAGCAAAUGGGAGCUGCAAAUUACAGACUGAAAAAUUAUGGAAGAGAUUGUAUCCUAUGGAGCCCUGUGACCUUGAUUUGGAUAAGGCAAUCUCAGAGCCAAUUUCACCUCUUGAGAAAUGCACGACCUAUGAUCUUGUUUCAGCUGCCAAGAGGCAAAGCUCAUUUUAUCUUGAGGUACAAUAAUGAACUUGACUAAAGUAAAUUACAUAUGUUUUACAAGUUUGAAUUUGAAUAUAUUUACAGGAUUUAUAUGGAGUUUGAGUACUUUCUGAUAAAUGCUUGCACUUAAAAUAUUUAAUCUACAACUGAAAUAUUUUGAAAUUCAUAUAAAUACUUCCAAUACAUAUAAUAAUAUUAAUGGGUGUGUUACAAGGUUUCUAAGCCAUUUGUUGGUGUUUCUAUGCUACAGGUUUCAAGAGCCAAUGUACAUUUUCUAUAAAAAAACACUAUUACCUAUACAGCUAACCAUAUUUCAACCAAUAGAAAAAUAAAUUUUGCAUAAAAUUAAUAAAUUUUGCAUUGAAAAUCGAAAACGACACUUAUUUUGUAACGAAAAAAAUUCUCUAAAACGACACUUAAUAUGAAACGGAGGGAGUACUUUGUUUUCAUGCUAUAAAUCGUUUUUAACCAUCACUGGGAAAAACAAGAACCACUAGAAUAUGACAUUUAAGCUUUAACCUAAACUAGGUUAAGAUCCACGCCUUGCGCAGAAUAAAUAUUAUAAAUAAAUUAGUUUUACAUAUUAUAUUUUCUUUUACAUAUUAGUAAAUUAUACAUGUAUAUUGAUAACUAAAAAUUCAGUAACUAUUAUGUAUAUGGUGCAAACACAUAAAUUUUUUUUAUUAAUUCAAAUAAACAUUUUUUCUAUUUUAUAUGAUAUAAAAUUAAGUUUUAAUGAUAUUAAUAUUAAUAUUGAUAUCUGUUAUAUAAUAUUUUACACUCAUAUUGUUUUUUGAUCAUUUGUAUUUUUAAUAAGAAAAAGAUUUGAAUCACUAAUAACAAAUAUUUUUGUGGGAUGUUUAAUAGUUUUAGUCAUUUAUAAUUUUAAAAACAUUAUGAAAUGUUUUAAAACUAAAUAUUAAGUUGUCAUAAUUUGUUCAAAUAUUUUAUAAAAAAAAAUCAAAGCAGAUUUCGAAAUUCAAAUACAUAUGUAUUUCUAUAUGGUACAUAAUUUAUUUUAAACAAUAUUAAUAUAUUAAUAUUUAUUAAAUUAUACUUUUUAUUAUAUAAUUUUGUAAUCAUUUAUAUACUGUUAUAACAAAAAAUUUAACCAUAGAUCAAAAAAAUUUUAAUGUGAGAUUUUUGACAACUUUAGUCAUAUAUAGUCGUUUUUAAAAAUUCAAAAUAUAACAUAUACAGAAAAAUCUAAUUUCUUUCUGUAUAGUUAAUGUGGCUGUUUAAUUUAUUUUAAUAGGUUGAUUUUUUAAAAAAAAUAGAGAAUAGACUAAUUUUUAUCAAAUCUUUAUUAUUCAAAAUUAUUAAUUGUCAUAUAUACUUUAGUAACAUUUGGUAAUUAUGUUAUUUUUAUUUUAGGAAACAAUGAAGAACAUUAAAAAUUAAUUUAUGAUUAGUUUAAUAAAAAUCUUAUUAUAUAUUUUGAUAGACCAAUAUAUUUUUCUAAAGAUUCUAAUAAUGAUUGUGGUAUGACAUGCGUCUACCAAAAAAUAUUGUGAUGUUUCUCUUUUAAUAUAUAGGAGAUUUUAACUAAAAGCCAAAUGAUUAUUUUUUUACCCAUGAUGACUCGUUUUGUAACUGACAUUUUGAAUAUAUAAUGUUAGUUUUUUUUAAAUUUAUUGGUUUUUUCAAUAGUGUUUUGUUUUCAAUGUCUGUUUUCAAGUGAUGUCAACUUUGGAAAAAUAAUGUUAAAAAGCCGUUUUGUUUUCAUUUUCAAUUUUCAAUUUCUUUUAAUUUUUUUACCUUUUGAUUUGCUAUUAAUCACUACUCUAUUAUUUUAAAAGGUUCUAAUAAAACUCAACAAGCGUUAUGCAAAUAUAACCAAACAAACACUUCUUUUUUUCCAAACCAAUACUUGGUUAAUGUAAGACAAGUGUCAAAUAAGAAAAGAGUAACAUCUCUUUGAGUUUUCAUACAAAACGUAACGUCUUUUUGAGUUUUUGUACAGAAGUUAGUAGAAACCGUGCUAUAUAUAGAAGCAUUUGAAACCCUCCUCUCAAACUUGAAUCAACAUCUUCAUCAGAGAAAAAUCCCGUUGAGGUAUAUAGUUUGAAUUCUUCUUGUUCAUACUUCAAAAGUUUAAAGAUUUAAACUUUUGGGGGUUUCUCAUGUUUCUAGGGUAGAAAAAUCUCAUUAAACAUCUCUUGCUCAUGGUAUUGGAAAUUGUAGUUUGAAUUCUUCUUGUUUAUACUUUGCAGAUGAAGUUUUCACAAUUGACAGGAAUGAAGAAAGAAAUAGUGCAAAAUUUGGAGUGGCUUGAAGCUCAGAAGAUAGAGAUAAGCAUUGACCUAAUUGCUGAAUCUAAGAAACAUCUUCAGUUCCUCGGAGUUGUUGACUGUAACCAGUUGCUCUACGAUGGUCCUGCACUCAAAAGAGCCAUCUACAGGUAAUUAAACAAAACCACCAACGCGGUUUGCAUCACGCAAGUAUAUAAAUUUACUUAAUUUAAUCUUUAUUUAAUUCUAUGUUAUAUAUUUUUUUUCUGAUUAGCAAAGUUUAAAAUAAUGAUAAACAAUAUUGCUACAAUCACCAAUCUAUUAAAUCUAAGGAAAGGACCUAACCUUUUAGUUUACGAAUAUAUCUUUUUUUUUUGUUUUUCCUUUCCAUUUACCUAAUUCCCAAAUCAAUAAUAAUUUGGUGAUUUAUUUUUCAGAUACAAUGCUUACUGGCUUCCUUUGCUAGCCAAACAUUCUGAGUCUUCCUCAAUCUGCGAAGGACCACUAGUCCCCCCAUUUGACUGUGAAUGGGUUUGGCAUUGCCACAGGCUUAAUCCAGUAAAUCUAAGCAUUGUAUAUAUCUUUGCAUACAAUUCACAUAUGAAAAAGCACACUGUAGCAAAAAAAAAAGCACACCGUAGCAGACUAGUGAACAGUGGGAGGUAAAAUAAGUAGCUCACUAUUUUGUUAAUCAUCCAGGUGAGGUACAAGUCUGACUGCGAGGAAUUCUAUGGGAGAGUUCUGGACAACUCUGGCAUUUUAUCUUCAGCAAAUGGGAGCUGCAAAUUACAGACAGAAAAAUUAUGGAAGAGAUUGUAUCCUAUGGAGUCCUAUGACCUUGAUUUGGAUAAGGCAAUCUCAGAGCCAAUUUCACCUCUUGAGAAAUGCACGACCUAUGAUCUUGUUUCAGCUGCCAAGAGGCAAAGCUCAUUUUAUCUUGAGGUACAAUAAUGAACUUGACUAAAGUAAAUUACAUAUGUUUUACAAGUUUGAAUUUGAAUAUAUUUUCAGGAUUUAUAUGGAGUUUGAGUACUUUCUGAUAAACGCUUGCACUUAAAAUAUUUAAUCUACAACUGAAAUAUUUUGAAAUUCAUAUAAAUACUUCCAAUACAUAUAAUAAUAUUAAUGGG
rnacentral:lncRNA from 1 species